ACGGGUGAGUAAUGCCUAGGAAUCUGCCUGGUAGUGGGGGACAACGUUUCGAAAGGAACGCUAAUACCGCAUACGUCCUACGGGAGAAAGCAGGGGACCUUCGGGCCUUGCGCUAUCAGAUGAGCCUAGGUCGGAUUAGCUAGUUGGUGAGGUAAUGGCUCACCAAGGCGACGAUCCGUAACUGGUCUGAGAGGAUGAUCAGUCACACUGGAACUGAGACACGGUCCAGACUCCUACGGGAGGCAGCAGUGGGGAAUAUUGGACAAUGGGCGAAAGCCUGAUCCAGCCAUGCCGCGUGUGUGAAGAAGGUCUUCGGAUUGUAAAGCACUUUAAGUUGGGAGGAAGGGCAGUCAGCGAAUACCUUGCUGUCUUGACGUUACCGACAGAAUAAGCACCGGCUAACUCUGUGCCAGCAGCCGCGGUAAUACAGAGGGUGCAAGCGUUAAUCGGAAUUACUGGGCGUAAAGCGCGCGUAGGUGGUUUGUUAAGUUGGAUGUGAAAUCCCCGGGCUCAACCUGGGAACUGCAUCCAAAACUGGCAAGCUAGAGUAGGGCAGAGGGUGGUGGAAUUUCCUGUGUAGCGGUG
rnacentral:rRNA from 1 species